UUGAAGGAUUUUUUAAAAUCCACCUUCUAGAAUAAUUAAAAUAAAAU
rfam:Sus scrofa isolate TJ Tabasco breed Duroc chromosome 13, whole genome shotgun sequence.